rnacentral:rRNA from 1 species
UACGGGAGGCAGCAGUGGGGAAUAUUGGGCAAUGGGGGGAACCCUGACCCAGCAACGCCGCGUGAGGGAAGAAGGUUCUCGGAUCGUAAACCUCUGUCCUUGGUGAAGAGGAAGAGACGGUAGCCAAGGAGGAAGCCCCGGCUAACUACGUGCCAGCAGCCGCGGUAAU